rnacentral:rRNA from 1 species
UACGUAGGUGGCAAGCGUUGUCCGGAUUUAUUGGGCGUAAAGCGAGUGCAGGCGGUUCAAUAAGUCUGAUGUGAAAGCCUUCGGCUCAACCGGAGAAUUGCAUCGGAAACUGUGUUUCUUGAGUGCAGAAGAGGAGAGUGGAACUCCAUGUGUAGCGGUGGAAUGCGUAGAUAUAUGGAAGAACACCAGUGGCGAAGGCGGCUCUCUGGUCUGUAACUGACGCUGAGGCACGAAAGCGUGGGUAUCGAACAGG